rnacentral:rRNA from 1 species
CACGCAGGCGGUCGUGUAAGUUUGGGGUUACAGCUCCCGGCUCAACUGGGAGAGCGCCUUGAAGACUGCAGGACUUGAGGGCCAGAGAGGGACACAGAGUUCCGGGUGUAGUGGUGAAAUGCGUAGAUAUCCGGAGGAAUACCAAAGGCGAAGGCAGUGUCCUGGCUGGUGACUGACGCUGAGGUGCGAAAGCUAGGGGAGCGAACGGGAUUAGAUACCCCGGUAGUCCUAGCCGUAAACGAUGACCACUAGGUGUGGGAGGUAUCGACCCCUUCCGUGCCGUAGCAAACGUGAUAAGUGGUCCGCCUGGGGAGUACGGUCGCAAGAUUAAA